ensembl:snRNA Gm25282 predicted gene, 25282
CAACUUGAUCCAGACUAGAGUCAUUUGAAUAGAGAAGAUUAGCAUGGCCCCUGCAGAAGGAUUUGUGAAGUGUUCCAUAUUUUU